CGGAGUGUGGCGCAGCCUGGUAGCGCACCUAUCUCGGGGUCAGGGGGUCGCAGGUUCGAAUCCUGCCUCUCCGACCA
rnacentral:tRNA from 1 species